rnacentral:rRNA from 1 species
AUUGAACGCUGGCGGCAGGCCUAACACAUGCAAGUCGAGCGAGCGGCGGACGGGUGAGUAAUGUAUGGGGACUGCCCCUUAGAGGGGGAUUACUCUUGGCGACGGGAUCUAAUACCGCAUACUAUCGGAUACUGCAUAUGGGAUUAUCUAGUAGGUGGGGUAAUGGCUCACCUAGGCGACGAUCCCUAGCUGGUCUGAGAGGAUGAUCAGCAACACUGGGACUGGGACACGGCCCAGACUCCUACGGAGGCAGAAGUGGGGAAUAAUGCACAAUGGGAGCAAGCCUGAUGCAGCCAUGCCGCGUGUAUGAAGAAGGCCAUAGGGUUGUAAAGUACUUUCAGUCGGGAGGCGUUACCGACAGAAGAAGCACCGGCUAACUCCGUGCCAGCAGCCGCGGUAAUAC